rnacentral:rRNA from 1 species
GCCUAGCCGUAAACUUUUAAUUACACCAUGACCGCCUGGGAACUACGAGCAAAGCUUAAAACCCAAAGGACUUGACGGUACCCCAUAUCCCCCUAGAGGAGCCUGUCCUAUAAUCGAUAAUCCACGUUUAACCUCACCACUUUUAGCUUGUCAGCCUGUAUACCUCCGUCGUCAGCUUACCACGUGAGCGAAACUUAGUGAGCUUAAUGCCUCUACACCAAUACGUCAGGUCAAGGUGCAGUAAAUGAAGUGGGAAGAGAUGGGCUACACUCUCUAACAUAGAAGAUACGAAAAACUAACUAUGAAACCUAGUUGGAAGGCGGAUUUAGUAGUAAAAAGAAACAAUAAAGUUUUUUUUAACCCGGCACUGGGGUGUGUACACACCGCCCGUCACCCUCCUCAAAGCUAAAAAUUAGUGUUUAACAAACAAAAGCAAUAUAGAAGAGGCAAGUCGUAACAUGGUAAGUAUACCGGAAGGUGUACUUGGAAA